rnacentral:rRNA from 1 species
AACGCGAAGAACCUUACCAAGGCUUGACAUAUACCGGAAACGGCUAGAGAUAGUCGCCCCCUUGUGGUCGGUAUACAGGUGGUGCAUGGUUGUCGUCAGCUCGUGUCGUGAGAUGUUGGGUUAAGUCCCGCAACGAGCGCAACCCUUGUUCUGUGUUGCCAGCAUGCCUUUCGGGGUGAUGGGGACUCACAGGAGACUGCCGGGGUCAACUCGGAGGAAGGUGGGGACGACGUCAAAUCAUCAUGCCCCUUAUGUCUUGGGCUGCACACGUGCUACAAUGGUCGGUACAAAGGGCUGCGAUACCGUGAGGUGGAGCGAAUCCCAAAAAGCCGGCCUCAGUUCGGAUUGGGGUCUGCAACUCGACCCCAUGAAGUUGGAGUUGCUAGUAAUCGCAGAUCAGCAUGCUGCGGUGAAUACGUUCCCGGGCCUUGUACACACCGGUAUCUC